CCCACACCAGGCCCUCCUGGAGACCCUCCUGCUGCGUCUCGUUAUGGGGCCCGACCCUCAGUUUGGUCCGGGAACGGGGGCUGCCUCUCGUCCGAGGACCUGCUGCUACUCCUGGUCGUGGCUGCAGCUCUGUCCGCCUUUCUGUCCGGCUUUCCAUCCGGGGUGCCAGCUCGCCGCUGUCCCCACAUCUGGCUCCCGUGUUCCCGGCUGUCACGCAGGGUCACGUCGUCCCCAAAGUUCUGCUAACACGAAUGAAGUCUCGUUGGUGUGACAUCAAACAGCUACGAAGGCCGUUUCUGUGACCCGGAGGCCACACGCCGAGUCUCCGGGACGAAGCCUCGCUUGGCAGAGCCGCCGGGGCCUGGUCUCUGUGUUCUGUGCCACAGAUGCCACACGACUGUUUCCCACUCCCUGUGUUUACGUGGGACCCAAAGAUAACUGUUUUCCCGAAAUUAAUAUAAUUCCUAAGAUAAUUUUUCAUGAAAUUGGAAAAACUGGUUCUAAAAUUCAUACGAAGGCCGGUGUGGUGGCUCCCGCCUGUAAAUCCCAGCACUGUGGGAGGCCGAGGCGGGCGGAUCACGAGGUCAGGAGAUCAAGACCAUCCUGGCUAACACGGUGAAACCCCGUCUCCACUAAAAAAAUACAAAAAAUUAGCCAGGUGUGGUGACGGGCGCCUGUAGUCCCAGCUACUCAGGUAACUGAGGCAGGAGACUGGCGUGAACCCGGGAGGCGGAGCUUGCAGUGAGCCGAGAUCGCGCCACUGCACUCCAGCCUGGGCGACAGAGCAAGACUCUGUCUCAAGAAAAAAAAUAAAAAUAAAAAAUAAAAUUCGUACGAAAGAGCAAAGAGGGCCGGGCGUGGCAGCUCACGCCUGUAACCCCAGCACUUUGUGUCACGUGCGUCCAUGUGAAGAGACACCAACAGGCUUUGUGUGAGCAACAAGGCUGUUUAUUCACUUGGGUGCAAGUGGGCUGAGUCCGAAAAGAGUCAGCAAAGAGAGGUAGGGGUGGGGCCGUUUUAUAGGACUGGGGUAAACAGUGGAAAGUUACAGUGAAAGGUGGUUACCUAUUGUCAGCAGAGGAGGGGGUCACAAGGUACAUGGUGGGGAGAUCAUAAGACUCAUUGUCCGGAAGAAGAAUGUCACGAGGUCGAUCGAUCAGGUGGGACAGGGCAGGAACAGGUCAUCAUGGAAUGUCGUAAGGUUGGUCAAUCAGUUAAGACAGGAGCUGGCUGUUUCAUUCUUUUGUAGAUUUGGGUUGCCCCAGACUUCUUGGCUCUUGCAGGCCAUCUG
rnacentral:lncRNA from 1 species